rnacentral:lncRNA from 1 species
AAAAUGUGCUCGGGUAUUGGCCGGCCUCCUUCUCCAAUCUUAAUGCCAAUCUUCCAGAGCCAAUAUCUCUCCUUUGCACCUUUCGAUUGAUCUCAAAAUUCUCAUACGCAUAGAAAAACAAGUCUUAUAUUCUCUCACAUAAGUUUCAUUCCAAUCCAACUAAUAGAUUGCAAGAAAUCUCAAAAACCUCCACUGGACCUAAAAUUCUACUUUUUGAGACCUUGACCCUUUUAAACCUCAAUAUUCCUCACUUCAACCGUU